ACCUGGAUGGCUCAGUGGUUGAGUGUCUGCCUUUAGUUCAGGUUGUGAUCCCGGGGUCUUGGGAUCGAUUCCCACAUCGGGUU
rnacentral:tRNA from 1 species